UGGAGGCUUACCUCUGUGGUCACAGAGCUC
rnacentral:piRNA from 1 species